ensembl:snRNA U6 U6 spliceosomal RNA
CUGCUCGCUUUGGCAGCACAAAUACUAAAAUUGGAAUGAUACAGAGAAGAUUAACAUGGCCCCAAUGCAAGGAUGACAUGCAAAUUCACGGAGCAUUCCGUAUUUUA